GGGGAAUAUUGCACAAUGGGGGAAACCCUGAUGCAGCGACGCCGCGUGGAGGAAGAAGGUCUUCGGAUUGUAAACUCCUGUUGUUGGGGAAGAUAAUGACGGUACCCAACAAGGAAGUGACGGCUAACUACGUGCCAGCAGCCGCGGUAAAACGUAGGUCACAAGCGUUGUCCGGAAUUACUGGGUGUAAAGGGAGCGCAGGCGGGAGAACAAGUUGGAAGUGAAAUCCAUGGGCUCAACCCAUGAACUGCUUUCAAAACUGUUUUUCUUGAGUAGUGCAGAGGUAGGCGGAAUUCCCGGUGUAGCGGUGGAAUGCGUAGAUAUCGGGAGGAACACCAGUGGCGAAGGCGGCCUACUGGGCACCAACUGACGCUGAGGCUCGAAAGUGUGGGUAGCAAACAGGAUUAGAUACCCUGGUAGUCCACACCGUAAACGAUGAUUACUAGGUGUUGGAGGAUUGACCCCUUCAGUGCCGCAGUUAACACAAUAAGUAAUCCACCUGGGGAGUACGACCGCAAGGUUGAAACUCAAAGGAAUUGACGGGGGCCCGCACAAGCAGUGGAGUAUGUGGUUUAAUUCGACGCAACGCAAAGAACCUUACCAAGUCUUGACAUCCCUUGACGAUGCUGGAAACAGCAUUUCUCUUCGGAGCAAGGAGACAGGUGGUGCAUGGUUGUCGUCAGCUCGUGUCGUGAGAUGUUGGGUUAAGUCCCGCAACGAGCGCAACCCUUAUGGUCAGUUACUACGCAAGAGGACUCUGGCCAGACUGCCGUUGACAAAACGGAGGAAGGUGGGGAUGACGUCAAAUCAUCAUGCCCUUUAUGACUUGGGCUACACACGUACUACAAUGGCGUUAAACAAAGAGAAGCAAGACCGCGAGGUGGAGCAAAACUCAGAAACAACGUCCCAGUUCGGACUGCAGGCUGCAACUCGCCUGCACGAAGUCGGAAUUGCUAGUAAUCGUGGAUCAGCAUGCCACGGUGAAUACGUUCCCG
rnacentral:rRNA from 1 species